rnacentral:rRNA from 1 species
AACGAACGCUGGCGGCAGGCUUAACACAUGCAAGUCGAGCGCAUCCUUCGGGGUGAGCGGCGGACGGGUGAGUAACGCGUGGGAACGUGCCCUCUUCUACGGAAUAGCCUCGGGAAACUGAGAGUAAUGCCGUAUACGCCCGCAAGGGGAAAGAUUUAUCGGAGGAGGAUCGGCCCGCGUUGGAUUAGGUAGUUGGUGGGGUAACGGCCUACCAAGCCGACGAUCCAUAGCUGGUUUGAGAGGAUGAUCAGCCACACUGGGACUGGGACACGGCCCAGACUCCUACGGGAGGCAGCAGUGGGGAAUCUUGGACAAUGGGGGCAACCCUGAUCCAGCCAUGCCGCGUGAGCGAUGAAGGCCUUAGGGUUGUAAAGAUCUUUCAGCUGGGAAGAUAAUGACGGUACCAGCAGAAGAAGCCCCGGCUAACUCCGUG